GAUGAACGCUGGCGGCGUGCCUAAUACAUGCAAGUCGAGCGAACAGACGAGGAGCUUGCUCCUCUGACGUUAGCGGCGGACGGGUGAGUAACACGUGGAUAACCUACCUAUAAGACUGGGAUAACUUCGGGAAACCGGAGCUAAUACCGGAUAAUAUAUUGAACCGCAUGGUUCAAUAGUGAAAGACGGUUUUGCUGUCACUUAUAGAUGGAUCCGCGCCGCAUUAGCUAGUUGGUAAGGUAACGGCUUACCAAGGCAACGAUGCGUAGCCGACCUGAGAGGGUGAUCGGCCACACUGGAACUGAAACACGGUCCAGACUCCUACGGGAGGCAGCAGUAGGGAAUCUUCCGCAAUGAGCGAAAGCCUGACGGAGCAACGCCGCGUGAGUAAUGAAGAUCUUCGGAUCGUAAAACUCUGUUAUUAGGGAAGAACAAAUGUGUAAGUAACUAUGCACGUCUUGACGGUACCUAAUCAGAAAGCCACGGCUAACUACGUG
rnacentral:rRNA from 1 species